AUGGUAGCGGUCGUCGCCUCGGAGGGCGCAGGGGGCUACUUCCCCGUCGAGUCCGCCGCCCGAGCGCUUGUGCGGCUGGCCGACACCGAGGUCGCCAGCCCCGACGAGAUGCUGCUCGCCGUGCGCUCCAUCACCUGCAGGUGGUUGGAUAUUAGUUAUGAAGGUUGUCCCUGGAUUUUUGCUCUAUCGAGGACUGCAUGAGCUUGGUCAAUAUGCAUUCUUGGAAAUUCUCUGGGAGCCAGCCAUAAAGAAGGAAUUCCUACUGUAUCAUGUGGCAUUCUUAGUCAGGUACUAAAUAUAACCAGAUGAACUGUUUUUGCAAACGACUGAGUGCUAAUUACACGAGUUAAAAGAUUAAGCUGAGUCCGAUCUAUUUUUCUGUCAAUUUAGUUUGAAGAAUUUGUUAUUGCCAUCAGAAGGUGUACUACUUGACCAUGCAGGAUACAAGGUGUCACGAUGAUUUGAUGAGCUUGACCACGUCAUCCCUGCCAAUGCCGAUUAGCUCAGCCUUGGUGGCGGCGGGCUCCUGGACCACCUCAAGCAGGCGCCUGCUGCAGCGGCCGACAUGUGAGGUAUGCUCUUUGGUACUAACUCUUCAUUCUCGACAUCUGGCUGUGUCUGUUCCUCAUAUUGUCUCCAAAUACCGGUGCGAAAAGGCUUUCUUCUAGAUCUGCUCAUUAUGGUUCUCCAAAUACAAUACAUUCAAUGAUAUUGUAGUUUUUGUGGGCUUGUUCUUUAUAAGAAAAUAAUUGUACACAUAGCACUAUAGUUACAAGCAGGUCUACGAAGGCAUGGCUUCAAAAUUCCAUAUACAUGUUUUCUUCCUUUUCCUUUCCAUAUCUAUGGUUUUCAUACUAAUUUAUGUUUUCCCCUCAAGGGAGGACAUGUGUAUUUGAGAGAGGGUUAUGGAAAAGAGGGGGCUGGACUAAGAGGAAGGAGUGGAAUCACAUGAUGCACAUUGCAUUUCUGUCUGUGCAAUCCAGUUAUAUACUGAUAAGGCUUUAUACAAUAAUAAGCUCCCUAUCUGUUGAACGUCACAAUUAGUACAGAGGCACAAGUCAUUUCUGACAAUUGAAGAUCAAACAAACAAUACUGCAGAAUUAUGCCAAUAUAAGUUUUUGAUGUACAUUGAGCUUGUCAGUUUUGCUGUCACCUUUAAUUUUGGAGACAUGGCUAACUAUUUUCUCCACUAUUUGGCAUCUUCCCAUGUUCAUCUUGACAGUCUGGUUUUCUAUGCUCUUGUUUUCUAUUUGCAAGGGCAAAUUAUAUUUCAAUGAUACAAAUGGCUGAUGUUAGUUUUGGUAUAUAUGUGGUCAAGAAGGUUGUCAAGGAGUGAUGGCCUCAGAUUUGUUAUGGGGCAUUUUUUUUUAAUAGAGCGCUUCUUGCGCACAAGCACUGGAACCAUCGGUCUAUGACAUACAUGAUUCUCUAUAACUUCUACCAGAAUGCUUUCUUUGUGUUAAUGCUCUUCUGGACACUAGCAACCUCGGAUACAAGUACCCGUGGUGGUUUCUCUGUUCUUAGGAGACAUGCUGAAGACUGUCUUCCUCGGACGGUUAGCAUUGCAAGCAUUUUUUGACUCCACUUGAUGUCUAUAAAAUUUCUGGCUUAUUGAAUGAUAUGUUUACUUGCAAGACAUGUCGCAUAAUCCACAUAGAACCGGGUGGCAAUUUCCUCACAUUUCAUGGUGAUUUUAAUUUGAGCAUUCAGCUUGAAUACCCUUUAAACUUUCCGUCAUUGUGCUCUUAUUGUUUUGGUGUAGCACUUCAUGUCACAACUGAAUUUUGAAUUCUUACCACUGCAGAAACUUCAACAUAUACUGAUUCAUUAGAUAAUGAGUAUGUGUGAGCUCUCUUUGUCUUUCUGAUUGAAUGUUGAAUUCUUACCACUGCAGAAACUUGCAACAUAUACUGAUUCAUUAGAUAAUGAGUAUGUGUGAACUCUCUCUGUCUUUCCGGUUCUACCUCAUGCCAUCAGUGUUUUGUGUUUUAGAUGCCCUAAUCUCCCUUGUAUUUAAGCGUCAUUUAUUUAGCUCUUCCGAAAUUUGUCGCCAAAGUAAGUGGAAUGGGCACUUUCAACCUGUCACCGCCUAGAUUUCUCUCAAGAGGCGCCACCAGGUGGCGCCCCAACCCCUACUGAUAUCCAAGGCGGAGUGUGCAGCGAGGCAGCGGGAGAAGGCGCGGGCCACAUCCUCCACUAACUAGUGAUUUCGGUCUUUUGGGGCU